ACUCUAAGCGGUGGAUCACUCGGCUCAUGGGUCGAUGAAGAACGCAGCAAACUGUGCGUCAUCGUGUGAACUGCAGGACACAUGAACAUCGACAUUUUGAACGCAUAUCGCAGUCCAUGCUGUUAUGUACUUUAAUUAAUUUUAUAGUGCUGCUUGGACUACAUAUGGUUGAGGGUUGUAAGACUAAUGCUAAUUAAGUUGCUUAUAAAUUUUUAUAAGCAUAUGGUAUAUUAUUGGAUAAAUAUAAUAAUUUUUAUUCAUAAUAUUAAAAAAUAAAUGAAAAACAUUAUCUCACAUUUGAAUGUGAAAAACGAAGAGAAAUAUUUUCUUUUUCAAUCAAAUAAUACUGAGAAAUGUCUAGCAUAAAAAAUUGAAAUAUUUUUUCAUCUAGAAUUGUCUCUUAUUAAUGAUUCGGAAAUAGAAAAAUCUUGGUUAUGUUAUUAUUCUUCGUUGGUUCGUUAAAAAUGGAUAAAUAAAAACUUUGCAUACAAGAAUUAAUAAAAAUGUUAUAACGAAUUUAAUUAAAUGUUUUAUCAUUAUAUAUAAAGAAUUUAUGGCAAGAUAAAGUUAUAUACAACCUCAACUCAUAUGGGACUACCCCCUGAAUUUAAGCAUAUUAAUUAGGGGAGGAAAAGAAACUAACAAGGAUUUUCUUAGUAGCGGCGAAGCGAAAAGAAAACAGUUCAGCACUAAGUCACUUUGUCUAUAUGGCAAAUGUGAGAUGCAGUGUAUGGAGCGUCAAUAUUCUAGUAUGAGAAAUUAACGAUUUAAGUCCUUCUUAAAUGAGGCCAUUUACCCAUAGAGGGUGCCAGGCCCGUAUAACGUUAAUGAUUACUAGAUGAUGUUUCCAAAGAGUCGUGUUGCUUGAUAGUGCAGCACUAAGUGGGUGGUAAACUCCAUCUAAAACUAAAUAUAACCAUGAGACCGAUAGUAAACAAGUACCGUGAGGGAAAGUUGAAAAAGAACUCUGAAUAGAGAGUUAAACAGUACGUGAAACUGCUUAGAGGUUAAGCCCGAUGAACCUGAAUAUCCGUUAUGGAAAAUUCAUCAUUAAAAUUGUAAUAUUUAAAUAAUAUUAUGAGAAUAGUGUGCAUUUUUUCCAUAUAAGGACAUUGUAAUCUAUUAGCAUAUACCAAAUUUAUCAUAAAAUAUAACUUAUAGUUUAUUCCAAUUAAAUUGCUUGCAUUUUAACACAGAAUAAAUGUUAUUAAUUUGAUAAAGUGCUGAUAGAUUUAUAUGAUUACAGUGCGUUAAUUUUUCGGAAUUAUAUAAUGGCAUAAUUAUCAUUGAUUUUUGUGUUUAUUAUAUGCACUUGUAUGAUUAACAAUGGCGAAAGAUUCAGGAUACCUUCGGGACCCGUCUUGAAACACGGACCAAGGAGUCUAACAUAUGUGCAAGUUAUUGGGAUAUAAACCUAAUAGCGUAAUUAACUUGACUAAUAAUGGAUUAGUUUUUUAGCUAUUUAUAGCUAAUUAACACAAUCCCGGGGCGUCUAUAUAGUUAUGUAUAAUGUAUAUUUAUAUUAUUUAUGCCUCUAACUGGAACGUACCUUGAGCAUAUAUGCUGUGACCCGAAAGAUGGUGAACUAUACUUGAUCAGGUUGAAGUCAGGGGAAACCCUGAUGGAAGACCGAAACAGUUCUGACGUGCAAAUCGAUUGUCAGAAUUGAGUAUAGGGCGAAAGACCAAUCGAACCAUCUAGUAGCUGGUUCCUUCCGAAGUUUCCCUCAGGAUAGCUGGUGCAUUUUAAUAUUAUAUAAAAUAAUCUUAUCUGGUAAAGCGAAUGAUUAGAGGCCUUAGGGUCGAAACGAUCUUAACCUAUUCUCAAACUUUAAAUGGGUAAGAACCUUAACUUUCUUGAUAUGAAGUUCAAGGUUAUGAUAUAAUGUGCCCAGUGGGCCACUUUUGGUAAGCAGAACUGGCGCUGUGGGAUGAACCAAACGUAAUGUUACGGUGCCCAAAUUAACAACUCAUGCAGAUACCAUGAAAGGCGUUGGUUGCUUAAAACAGCAGGACGGUGAUCAUGGAAGUCGAAAUCCGCUAAGGAGUGUGUAACAACUCACCUGCCGAAGCAACUAGCCCUUAAAAUGGAUGGCGCUUAAGUUGUAUACCUAUACAUUACCGCUAAAGUAGAUGAUUUAUAUUACUUGUGAUAUAAAUUUUGAAACUUUAGUGAGUAGGAAGGUACAAUGGUAUGCGUAGAAGUGUUUGGCGUAAGCCUGCAUGGAGCUGCCAUUGGUACAGAUCUUGGUGGUAGUAGCAAAUAAUCGAAUGAGACCUUGGAGGACUGAAGUGGAGAAGGGUUUCGUGUGAACAGUGGUUGAUCACGAGUUAGUCGGUCCUAAGUUCAAGGCGAAAGCCGAAAAUUUUCAAGUAAAACAAAAAUGCCUAACUAUAUAAACAAAGCGAAUUAUAAUACACUUGAAUAAUUUUGAACGAAAGGGAAUACGGUUCCAAUUCCGUAACCUGUUGAGUAUCCGUUUGUUAUUAAAUAUGGGCCUCGUGCUCAUCCUGGCAACAGGAACGACCAUAAAGAAGCCGUCGAGAGAUAUCGGAAGAGUUUUCUUUUCUGUUUUAUAGCCGUACUACCAUGGAAGUCUUUCGCAGAGAGAUAUGGUAGAUGGGCUAGAAGAGCAUGACAUAUACUGUUGUGUCGAUAUUUUCUCCUCGGACCUUGAAAAUUUAUGGUGGGGACACGCAAACUUCUCAACAGGCCGUACCAAUAUCCGCAGCUGGUCUCCAAGGUGAAGAGUCUCUAGUCGAUAGAAUAAUGUAGGUAAGGGAAGUCGGCAAAUUAGAUCCGUAACUUCGGGAUAAGGAUUGGCUCUGAAGAUUGAGAUAGUCGGGCUUGAUUGGGAAACAAUAACAUGGUUUAUGUGCUCGUUCUGGGUAAAUAGAGUUUCUAGCAUUUAUGUUAGUUACUUGUUCCCGGAUAGUUUAGUUACGUAGCCAAUUGUGGAACUUUCUUGCUAAAAUUUUUAAGAAUACUAUUUGGGUUAAACCAAUUAGUUCUUAUUAAUUAUAACGAUUAUCAAUUAACAAUCAAUUCAGAACUGGCACGGACUUGGGGAAUCCGACUGUCUAAUUAAAACAAAGCAUUGUGAUGGCCCUAGCGGGUGUUGACACAAUGUGAUUUCUGCCCAGUGCUCUGAAUGUCAAAGUGAAGAAAUUCAAGUAAGCGCGGGUCAACGGCGGGAGUAACUAUGACUCUCUUAAGGUAGCCAAAUGCCUCGUCAUCUAAUUAGUGACGCGCAUGAAUGGAUUAACGAGAUUCCUACUGUCCUAUCUACUAUCUAGCGAAACCACAGCCAAGGGAACGGGCUUGGAAUAAUUAGCGGGGAAAGAAGACCUUUUGAGCUUGACUCUAAUCUGGCAGUGUAAGGAGACAUAAGAGGUGUAGAAUAAGUGGGAGAUAUUAGACUCGGUUUGGUAUCGUCAAUGAAAUACCACUA
rnacentral:rRNA from 1 species